UAUUUGCUUCAGGAUGGACUCGCGUCCAAUUAGCUAGUUGGUGAGGUAACGGCCCACCAAGGCGACGAUUGGUAGCCGGACUGAGAGGUUGAACGGCCACAUUGGGACUGAGACACGGCCCAGACUCCUACGGGAGGCAGCAUG
rnacentral:rRNA from 1 species